GAUGAACGCUGGCGGCGUGCCUAAUACAUGCAAGUCGAGCGAACGGACGAGAAGCUUGCUUCUCUGAUGUUAGCGGCGGACGGGUGAGUAACACGUGGAUAACCUACCUAUAAGACUGGGAUAACUUCGGGAAACCGGAGCUAAUACCGGCUAAUAUUUUGAACCGCAUGGUUCAAAAGUGAAAGACGGUCUUGCUGUCACUUAUAGAUGGAUCCGCGCUGCAUUAGCUAGUUGGUAAGGUAACGGCUUACCAAGGCAACGAUGCAUAGCUGACCUGAGAGGGUGAUCGGCCACACUGGAACUGAGACACGGUCCAGACUCCUACGGGAGGCAGCAGUAGGGAAUCUUGCGCAAUGGGCGAAAGCCUGACGCAGCAACGCCGCGUGAGUGAUGAAGGUCUUAGGGUCGUAAAACUCUUUUAUUAGGGAAGAACAGAUGUGUAAGUAACUGUGCACAUCUUGACGGUACCUAAAGAGAAAGCAACGGCUAACUACGUG
rnacentral:rRNA from 1 species